AAGAAAAAUUUGUUCAGCAUAUGAGUGGUAGAUACGACCAAAGCUACAUCUCUCAGCAAGUCAGUGCUCCAGCUUAAGCAACAAGAAAAAAAAAAGCUCUAUAUAGAACUGUGACAAACAUAGUUACUGCAUGGAACUAAGAAAAUGAUGUUUGUAGCGUGUAGAAGCUAGAAAAGAAAGAUGAAAUCAAUUUAAACUUUUUCAAAACCAAUAGCUAGACUGAGACUGUUCAGUCCUGAAUAUAUAUGUGUACAUAUGUGUAUGUACACAUAUAUACAAACAUUGGGUUCUCAUUUUGUUUUGGAAAGGUGAAGCUGGUCACCCCCAGAGUUAAUGGGAAAAUAUGUGGGAUUAGAAAUUGUGCCCCAGUAUUCUGGGACUCCUGCCCAAGCCACAGUGAUGGCUUUUCCCCUCUUAUGAUUGCUGCUGUACUGAAAUUUACCAUCAGUCAGCCAUAGAACAGAGCAACUCCCAAGGUUCCAGCUACUACAGUGACUCAUUUGGUGUGUCAUCAUUCCCUGGAGAAUGGAGGUACCACAUCAAAUCAUGGCCCAUCCUAAAGUCUAGUGCCACUGAAAUUUACAGCCACAGAACUGAAUUAAUCAAGAGGAACAACAACAACAAGAGUUCUCUUCCAAAAUGAUAGCUUUUUUGUAGCUCUGAAAUGAGAGGAACCCAAUCCAGAAGAAUCCACAGAAGGAGGAAAAGCCAGCAGAAAGGCAGCAGAUUAGACACAAAAUUGUAAUUGUUAGUACGCAACUGAUAAAUACAAAAGGGCGAAGAGAAUGUCAAUCCAGAAUGAUGCAAAUCCCUUCAUUAUUACUCUCGUUAAAGGACUGCUAAUGAUCAGCAAAUAGCCAAAGGCAGAGGAGUCAAUCCAAGAUCUCUUCGGUUCUUUCCUAAUCAGAACACAGAUUUACAAAGAUGACACAACUGUCCGGAGGUCACACUGAAAUUAUAGACAGAGCUGGAGUUCUGAUUUCUGAAAGUCCUAUUCUCAGUCACUAUGCUAAAUGAGCCUCUAAGGUUCUAUGCUUGUUUUCUUCUUUUAUCAUUUGUCCAAUCAGGAUAGGUUAUUUUGUUGAAAUUUUGUGAGGGAAAAAAAAUUUAUUUUAUUUGGUGGAACGGUUUUUAAUUGGAGAUGGGAGUGGUCUCAGCCCUUUAAAAAUAAAAGAAUGAGGUGAGGGCAAGAAGGGGGUUGUUAUAGGAGAAGGGCCCUAGGCUGGAGGUACAGAGCAAGGUCAAGGGGACCCUGACAGCUGCAGAGUGAAUAGCAUCUUUGCAGUCUAUGAGCUUACAGAUAGAGAAGAUGCAAUUUAGGGUAGGAGAGGUGGUUUUUAUUUCUUAAAAAGUAG
rnacentral:lncRNA from 1 species